GUAGUUUUAUAUUAAUUCUAGAAAAAGCUGAAGUCAUCAGUUAUACAGCUGUUAUUUUGCCAAAUUGUUAACAGUGGCUGUGGAAGAAGUUUGGAAUGUGAAGAACAAUUUCUCCAUUAGAAGCCUGAAACCAGUGUCACAGAACAGAAGCGAUUUACUUUUACAGCCUCAAUUCUACUCAAGACAUGCAAGAAUGAAAAAUUGCUGAAUGUCAGUGCUGUGAAGACAUGAACUUGCUUUGAUGUGUCAAAUCAAACACCAGCAUAACUAGCUAUCUUUGGAAAUGUAGUUGUUUAUUUAUAGGAUUUUGAAUAAAGUUCUACUUGAAUAUGGAUCUAUUUCCUU
rnacentral:lncRNA from 12 species